rnacentral:rRNA from 1 species
AUUGAACGCUGGCGGCAGGCCUAACACAUGCAAGUCGAACGAGUGGCGGACGGGUGAGUAAUGUCUGGGAAACUGCCCGAUGGAGGGGGAUAACUACUGGAAACGGUAGCUAAUACCGCAUACCAUCGGAUGUGCCCAGAUGGGAUUAGUGAGUAGGUGGGGUAACGGCGCACCUGGGCGACGAUCCCUAGCUGGUCUGAGAGGAUGACAAGCCACACGGGAACUGAGACACGGUCCAGACUCCUACGGGAGGCAGAAGUGGGGAAUAUUGCAAGAUGGGCGCAAGCCUGAUGAAGACAUGCCGCGUGUAUGAAGAAGGCCUUCGGGUUGUAAAGUACUUUCAGCGAGGAGGCGUUACUCGCAGAAGAAGCACCGGCUAACUCCGUGCCAGCAGCCGCGGUAAUUC